GGGCGAGUAGCUCAGCUGGUUAGAGCGCCUGCCUUACAAGCAGGAUGUCGGGGGUUCGAAUCCCUCCUUGCCCACCA
rnacentral:tRNA from 1 species